UAUUGCACAAUGGGGGAAACCCUGAUGCAGCAACGCCGCGUGAAGGAUGACGGUUUUCGGAUUGUAAACUUCUUUUCUUAGUGACGAAGACAGUGACGGUAGCUAAGGAAUAAGCAUCGGCUAACUACGUGCCAGCAGCCGCGGUAAUACGUAGGAUGCAAGCGUUAUCCGGAUUUACUGGGUGUAAAGGGAGCGCAGGCGGGACUGCAAGUUGGAUGUGAAAUACCGUGGCUUAACCACGGAACUGCAUCCAAAACUGUAGUUCUUGAGUGAAGUAGAGGCAAGCGGAAUUCCGAGUGUAGCGGUGAAAUGCGUAGAUAUUCGGAGGAACACCAGUGGCGAAGGCGGCUUGCUGGGCUUUAACUGACGCUGAGGCUCGAAAGUGUGGGGAGCAAACAGGAUUAGAUACCCUGGUAGUCCACACUGUAAACGAUGAUAGCUAGGUGUGGGGGGUCUGACCCCUUCCGUGCCGGAGUUAACGCAAUAAGCUAUCCACCUGGGGAGUACGACCGCAAGGUUGAAACUCAAAGGAAUUGACGGGGGCCCGCACAAGCAGUGGAUUAUGUGGUUUAAUUCGAAGCAACGCGAAGAACCUUACCAGGUCUUGACAUCCGACUAACGAGAUAGAGAUAUGUCAGGUGCCCUUCGGGGAAAGUCGAGACAGGUGGUGCAUGGUUGUCGUCAGCUCGUGUCGUGAGAUGUUGGGUUAAGUCCCGCAACGAGCGCAACCCCUGCCAUUAGUUGCUACGCAAGAGCACUCUAAUGGGACCGCUACCGACAAGGUGGAGGAAGGUGGGGACGACGUCAAAUCAUCAUGCCCCUUAUGACCUGGGCUACACACGUAAUACAAUGGCCGUUAACAGAGGGAAGCAAAGCGGUGACGCAGAGCAAAACCCUAAAAACGGUCCCAGUUCGGACUGUAGGCUGCAACCCGCCUACACGAAGUUGGAAUUGCUAGUAAUCGCGGAUCAGCAUGCCGCGGUGAAUACGUUCCCGGGCCUUGUACACACCGCCCGUCACACCAUGGGAGUUUGUAACACCCGAAGUCAGUGACCCAACCGCAAGGAGGGAGCUGCCGAAGGUGGGAUAAGCGACUGGGGUGAAGUCGUAACAAGGUAGCCGUAGGAGAACCUGCGGCUG
rnacentral:rRNA from 1 species